GGCCUGGAUUUUUCUAUAUUUUACAGCAAUGGAUCAGUUAUUGCGAAUUCAACAGCACAGUUUGGAACGGCCCAAAUAGAUCGAGCAGUAAUCAUAAAUAUCCUUAAUAGGGUAAAUACAUCCAUGCUUGAUCUACAAGAAAAUUUUACUGACGGUAAAGUAUAUUUUCCAUUUUUUUUUCUUACAGUAUUCUAAUAAAUCAAAUAAAUGAUUAAACACCAAACUCCUUUUGUCAUCUAGUUCUUCCACCUGCACCAGCUUCAGCCCCAACCACUCCUCAGCACUCGUCAACUACAGCUGUGCUGCGUACCACACCUCCAGAAGUCAAUACCAUGACAACAGUCUCAAGUAGAACGGAGCACUCCAGUAGUGUUCUCCACAGCACUCAUAGGGCCAUGGCCACAAUGUCUGUAGCUGCCUCAUCUACUGCUGGGGCUGAUACUGCCUCACUCGACAUCUCAACCACCACUACAGAUCUUCAACAUUUUCCCUCAACAUCUCAACCUCAUCAUACAUUUACAACUCAACAUAUGGAAGACUCUAAUAGGCCUUCGGUGGAUUUUAGUACAACUGUGCUAAUACAAACAACCAGUAACCUUACUUCUCCUUCAAAUACAACAAUAGGAGGUCCAGUAAAUUCAUUUAAUGGCACAACUUCUCCGGUUCUACCUUUGGCAAACAUGACAGCACACCCAGAAACAAGCAAUGCAAAUGCUACUAAUCUCUCACAACCAACCAAGCAUGCCAGAAGUACCUCAGAUGAGAGUACUAUAACAACAGGUUAUACAGCAAGUCACCCCAGGACCAUGGUUACAGUUCUAGAGCACAACAUCUCAUCAAAUACAGACACAAAUAAUGAAACAACCAAGUCAACACCCACAACAGGAGCAAUGAAUACAAGCAAGUCACCCGGCCAGACCAUCAACACAACAACCCUGCCUACUGGAUCGAUGGGAACCGAUGGGCCAACCAUGUCGCACAACAGCUCCCCCAUACCCACUUCUUUGGCCACCUCAUCAACAAGCAGUCCUCAUGAUAUAGCAUCAUCCACCACACAACGGCCUACAUCGAGAGCAGUCACAACCCAGUCCGGCGCUCUAGCAGACCGCUCAGAAGGAGGGGUUCCUGGCUGGGGCAUUGCCCUCCUGGUCUUGGCUGCAUUGAUUCUUCUGAUCCUUCUGAUCUUCUGUAUUCUCCUGGUGAGUCCACCAUCUCCACCAUCCACAUCCUGUAUUUUACCAGAGCUU
rnacentral:lncRNA from 1 species